rnacentral:rRNA from 1 species
AUACGGAGGGUGCAAGCGUUAUUCGGAAUCACUGGGCGUAAAGGGUGCGUAGGCGGUUUGAUAAGUCUGAUGUGAAAUCCUAUGGCUCAACCAUAGAACUGCAUUGGAAACUGUCAGACUAGAAUACUGAAGGGGCAGAUGGAAUUAGUGGUGUGGGGGUAAAAUCCGUAGAUAUCACUAGGAAUACCGAAAGCGAAAGCGAUCUGCUGGGAAGUUAUUGACGCUGAGGCACGAAAGCGUGGGGAGCAAACGGGAUUAGAAACCCCAGUAGUCC